rnacentral:rRNA from 1 species
AUACGUAGGUGGCAAGCGUUGUCCGGAAUUAUUGGGCGUAAAGCGCAUGUAGGCGGUAAUUUAAGUCUGUCGUGAAACUGCGGGGCUCAGCCCCGUAUGGCGGUGGAAACUGGGUUACUUGAGUGCAGGAGAGGAAAGGGGGACUCUCAGGGUAGCGGGGAAAUGCGUAGAUAUUGGGAAGAACACCGGUGGCGAAGGCGCCUUUCUGGACUGUGUCUGACGCUGAGAUGCGAAAGCCAGGGUAGCGAACGGGAUUAGAUACCCCGGUAGUCCUGGCCGUAAACGAUGGGUACUAGGUGUGGGAGGUAUCGACCCCUUCCGUGCCGGAGUUAACGCAAUAAGUACCCCGCCUGGGGAGUACGGCCGCAAGGCUUAAACUCAAAGGAAUUGACGGGG